rnacentral:rRNA from 1 species
GGGCCCGCACAAGCGGUGGAGCAUGUGGUUUAAUUCGAUGCAACGCGAAGAACCUUACCUGCCCUUGACAUCCUCGGAAGGGACCGGAAACGGACCCGUGCCUUCGGGAACCGAGAGACAGGUGCUGCAUGGCUGUCGUCAGCUCGUGUCGUGAGAUGUUGGGUUAAGUCCCGUAACGAGCGCAACCCCUAUCCUUAGUUGCCAGCACGUAAUGGUGGGAACUCUAUGGAAACUGCCCGUGAUAAGCGGGAGGAAGGUGUGGAUGACGUCAAGUCCUCAUGGCCCUUACGGGUUGGGCUACACACGUGCUACAAUGGUAGUGACAAUGGGUUAAUCCCAAAAAGCUAUCUCAGUUCGGAUUGUCGUCUGCAACUCGACGGCAUG